rfam:Dipodomys ordii contig_24775, whole genome shotgun sequence.
GGUGGCUCAGUGGUAGAGUGCUUGCCUUGCAUGCAUGAAGUCCUGGGUUCGAUUCCUCAGUACCA